GAGUUUGAUCCUGGCUCAGGACGAACGCUGGCGGCGUGCUUAACACAUGCAAGUCGAGCGAUGAAGCUCCUUCGGGAGUGAAUUAGCGGCGGACGGGUGAGUAACACGUGGGUAACCUGCCUCAUAGAGGGGAAUAGCCUUUCGAAAGGAAGAUUAAUACCGCAUAAGAUUGUAGUACCGCAUGGUACAGCAAUUAAAGGAGUAAUCCGCUAUGAGAUGGACCCGCGUCGCAUUAGCUAGUUGGUGAGGUAACGGCUCACCAAGGCGACGAUGCGUAGCCGACCUGAGAGGGUGAUCGGCCACAUUGGGACUGAGACACGGCCCAGACUCCUACGGGAGGCAGCAGUGGGGAAUAUUGCACAAUGGGGGAAACCCUGAUGCAGCAACGCCGCGUGAGUGAUGACGGCCUUCGGGUUGUAAAACUCUGUCUUUGGGGACGAUAAUGACGGUACCCAAGGAGGAAGCCACGGCUAACUACGUGCCAGCAGCCGCGGUAAUACGUAGGUGGCAAGCGUUGUCCGGAUUUACU
rnacentral:rRNA from 1 species